rnacentral:rRNA from 1 species
GGUGAACGCUGGCGGCGUGCUUAACACAUGCAAGUCGAACGGGACUUGUUAAGUUGAAACUUCGGUCGAUUCUUUUCAAGUCUAGUGGCGGACGGGUGAGUAACGCGUGGGUAACCUGCCUCACACUGGGGGAUAACAGUCAGAAAUGACUGCUAAUACCGCAUAAGCGCACAGCAUCGCAUGAUGCAGUGUGAAAAACUCCGGUGGUGUGAGAUGGACCCGCGUUGGAUUAGCUAGUUGGCGGGGUAACGGCCCACCAAGGCGACGAUCAGUAGCCGGACUGAGAGGUUGGCCGGCCACAUUGGGACUGAGACACGGCCAG